rnacentral:pre_miRNA from 10 species
AUUGGGUGGUUCUUUCCAGGACUGUCACACCUGAGCAUGGUACCUUGAGGCUCAAUCUCAGGUUUGUCAGCCCAUGAAAUGCUUACUC